UUCCGCCGCGGCGCGCUCCUGAUGAGUGCUGUGUCCAGGAUGAUCAUGAAUUCAAGCUCUGGAGCUUGAGGUGAACUGGUCCGACUUCCAGAAGAGAAGGUCCCCCCCCCCCCCAGGAAAAGCCAGUGCAGUUACCUGACAGUGAGUAAACCCGGUGUUUCUCGUGGUUUCGUCAGAUCUACCAUCGCCUGCCAGCCUGUCCUGCUUUGACCCCGCAGACUGUCCCUGUCCCCUCUGAACAAAAGGAUGGGCUGUUUCACAGCAACCCUAUGGUUUGGUACAGUUGCUGCAGGUACUUAAAAUGGCUGCCUGAACUUAAACUGGGAGGGUAGCCAUUAGGAGAUA
rnacentral:lncRNA from 1 species